GGAAGUAAAAUCGUAACAAGGUCUCCGUUGGUGAACCAGCGGAGGGAUCAUUACCGAGUGCAAACUCAUAACCCUUUGUGAACCUAUAUCUGUUGCUUCGGCGGCUCGCUCUCGGGCGAGCCCGCCGGUAAUAUCAGUAUCUCUGUUUGAACCCGACGAUACUUCUGAGUGUUCUUAGCGAACAGUUAAAACUUUUAACAACGGAUCUCUUGGCUCUA
rnacentral:misc_RNA from 1 species